UGGCUAGGAUGGUAAAGCAUCUGUCUGCAAUGCAGAAGACCCGGGUUUGAUUCCUGG
rnacentral:tRNA from 1 species